rnacentral:rRNA from 1 species
GACGAACGCUGGCGGCGUGCCUAAUACAUGCAAGUCGAACGCAUUUUCUUUCACCGUAGCUUGCUACACCGAAAGAAAAUGAGUGGCGAACGGGUGAGUAACACGUGGGUAACCUGCCCAUCAGCGGGGGAUAACACUUGGAAACAGGUGCUAAUACCGCAUAAUUCCAUUUACCGCAUGGUAGAUGGAUGAAAGGCGCUUUUGCGUCACUGAUGGAUGGACCCACGGUGCAUUAGCUAGUUGGUGGGGUAACGGCCUACCAAGGCUGCGAUGCAUAGCCGACCUGAGAGGGGGAUCGGCCACACUGGGACUGAGACACGGCCCAGACUCCUACGGGAGGCAGCAGUAGGGAAUCUUCGGCAAUGGACACAAGGCUGACCGAGCAACGCCGCGGGAGGGAAGAAGGGUGUCGGAUCGUAAAACUCUGUUGUUAGAGAAGAACAAGGAUGAGAGUGGAAAGUUCAUCCCUUGACGGUAGCUAACCAGAAAGCCACGGCUAACUACGUG